rnacentral:misc_RNA from 1 species
CACAUCCGACAUGGCCAUAACUCAUAGUUGGAACACAUUAAUUAUUGCACAAAACAUAAUUAAAGAGAGCAUUCACUUAAAAUCAUUUUAAUUAACAUAUUAUUUCUUAUGAAAUGUGCUAUUCAGCUGAGCUUUCAAUAAAUAGAAUAAUGACAUAAUUAACACAUUCCUAAACCACAUAUUAGGGUCCUUUGUGCAGAUAUCAGUCCACAAACCAAUUAAUUAAGUAUUUUCUGCUUUGAAUUAGUCCAUUAGGAAUGACAGGAAUAGUAAACAGUACCGGAAUAAAUCCAAAAAACAAUAACAAACCUGUUCCUCCCUCUAACACCAUUUCCAUUGUCAGUUUCUUUCUCAUCCUCUGGACCACCACUCAAACC